GAGGGAAACCGAGUCUUAAUUGGGCGUUAAGUUGCAGGGUAUAGACCCGAAACCCGGUGAUCUAGCCAUGGGCAGGUUGAAGGUUGGGUAACACUAACUGGAGGACCGAACCGACUAAUGUUGAAAAAUUAGCGGAUGACCUGUGGCUGGGGGUGAAAGGCCAAUCAAACCGGGAGAUAGCUGGUUCUCCCCGAAAGCUAUUUAGGUAGCGCCUCGUGAAUUCAUCUCCGGGGGUAGAGCACUGUUUCGGCUAGGGGGCCAUCCCGGCUUACCAACCCGAUGCAAACUGCGAAUACCGGAGAAUGUUAUCACGGGAGACACACGGCGGGUGCUAACGUCCGUCGUGAAGAGGGAAACAACCCAGACCGCCAGCUAAGGUCCCAAAGUCAUGGUUAAGUGGGAAACGAUGUGGGAAGGCCCAGACAGCCAGGAUGUUGGCUUAGAAGCAGCCAUCAUUUAAAGAAAGCGUAAUAGCUCACUGGUCGAGUCGGCCUGCGCGGAAGAUGUAACGGGGCUAAACCAUGCACCGAAGCUGCGGCAGCGAACGUAUCACCCAAGACAACUUUGCGGAGUUGACGAUUGACGGAGCGAAGCGACGUCAAAGCGUUCAUUAAAGUCGAGUUGGCUUAGGGAUACGUUCGUUGGGUAGGGGAGCGUUCUGUAAGC
rnacentral:rRNA from 1 species